rnacentral:lncRNA from 1 species
AAAUUGCAAGCAUUCUCUUUGGGGCUUACAUGUCUACUUCCCUUAGCUGGGAUCAGCGACUUCUCUUGGGCCUUUCCUCCAGCAGGCUGGGUCCCCUCUCUGUACAGAAGUUAAAAGGAUGUUGUCAAGCACAGAAAGGCUGUAGCUCAGGAAUUUGGACAGAGCAAAACAGAAAUGGCUCGUCUCUGCUCCAUGAAGGCUGGUCCUCAACUGGGAAGACUCAAUGAACAAGUGGGAACUUCACAAUUGAGGGCUGGCAUCACCUGGACAGUUCGAGUUCUGUCAGAAAACGUCUCGUUCCUGUUCCUGGAUGAACUAAAGACUCUGCCUGGAAAAGAACUAAGCUGCAAUAUACACACACCUGACUGCACAGCUGCUGAAGAGGAGAACUUCUGUUUAAUCUGUUUUAAAUAAUAGACAGGUGGAGUCUUACUCUGUAAUCCAGGCUGGAGUGCAAUGAUGUGAUCUCAGCUCACUGCAACCUCUACCUCCCAGGUUCAAGCAAUUCUCCUGCCUCAGUCUCCCAAGUAGAUGGAAUUACAGGUGUGUGCCACCACAACCGGCUAAUUUUUUUUAUUUUUAGUAGAGGUGGGGUUUCACUAUGUUGGCCAGGCUGGUUUCGAACUCCUGACCUCAUGUGAUCCACCCGCCUCAGCCUCCCAAAGUGCUGGGAUUACAGGCGUGAGCCACUGCGCCCGGCCUAGUAAGCCCUUUUAAAGAACAGAACUGAAGUCUAUAUAUGUGUGUAUAUAUUUUAAAAUUACAUUAUUAGUUCAUAUUUACAUUUCCAAUCGAAAUUUUAGGAUUAUAAAGUUUUAAUGUAUUUAUUUGAUUCUAUCUUUUUUUUUCUCAAGUGAAAAAUCCUGGUUCCUAACAGCAUGCACAUAAUUAUUUACUUGAUUUCUCUUAUAUAUUAUAUAACAGCUUGGCCAGGCAUGAUGGCUCAUUCCUGUAAUCACAGCACUUUAGGAGGCCAAGGCAGGAGGAUCACUUGAGCCCAGGAGUUCGAGACCAGCCUGGGCAACAUAGCAAAACCCUGUCUCUAUUUUAACAAAGUAAUAGUUUCAGAAUAGCAAUGUCAAUAGUAUUAGUAGAAAUUUGAAUGCUAAAAAAACAGUUUAAGACUUUCUGCUUGUUUGAUUUUAUGGUACAUACUACCAGGGAUGUAACCUCAGAUUACUGUAUUUUAAAGUUAAUUAAAAUACUUCCUCCGUCUGAGCUUAUGCCACCAACUCGUGGAACAGUUAGGUUUAUUCGUUUCAUUUUGCCUUGCUUUAUAAAGAUAGCUUUUAAAAGCAAUUGUGUUAUAAUUGUUUAUAGUAGUACUGUAUCGUGUAACAACUACAUUCUAUAGGGUCACCCUUGUAUCCAUCAUGUAAUGAUUGUUAUACAGGUAAAUAUAUAUAUUCAACGCCCACCUGAUCCUUAUGCCAAUUCCUCUUCGGUCAUUUGUUUGUCUUUUUCUAGUAGGUUCCUUAGGAAGGGCACAGAGAACAAUACUCCAUGAGUUCUGGCAUAUUCUUAACAGUUUGUGCAUGACUUUAAACUUGACUGGGUAUAAAAUUCUUGCCUACAUUUUCUUUUCUUUUUUUUUUUUUUUUUUUGGAAGGGAGCUUUGCUCUUGUUGCCCUGGCUGGAGUGCAGUGGUGUGAUCUCAGCUCUCUGCAACCUCCGCCUCCUGGGUUCAAGCGAUUCUCCUGCCUCGGCCUUCCGAGUAGUGGGAUUACAGGUGCGCGCCACCAUGCCUGGCUAAUUUUUUGUAUUUUUAGUUGGGACCGGGUUUCACCAUGUUGGCCAGGCUGGUCUCAAACUCCUGACCUCAGGUGAUCUGCCCGCCUUGGACCCCCAAAGUGCUAGGAUUACAGACGCGAGCCACCGCGCCCGGCCUUGACUACAUUUUCUUAACUGUUUGUAAUAUACUUUAUUCCAUUGCCCUAUGGUAUAAAAUGUUGCUGUUGAGAAAUCUGUCCGUCUUAGUCUCUUUCCCUAAUGAGUGGCUUGGUUGUUUCACUUUGAUGUCUAAAGAUUUCAUUUGGUUUUUCCCUUUUCUUUCAGUUCAAUAAAUUUACUUUAAAAAAAAGUCUCAUUUUGGCCACUAUCAAUGGAUUUUCCGAGGUACCUCAUGUGCCCGUUAAAGAUGUGGAUUCAGAUCUACUUGAUAUCAGUAACAUUUUUCUGAACUAUAGCUCCAGUUUGCAUUCAUUCCCCUUGCUUUGAGUUUCUUCUUUUGAGACUCUUAUUACAUGUAUGCUAAUAUAUAAGUAAUAAUCUAUUACUCCCUCUCCAAACCAUUUUCAAAAAUUUUAAAAAAUAUGUUUUUUAUUUUUGUAGAGACAGAAUCUUGCUAUGUUGCCCAGGCUGGUGUUGAACUGCUGGCCUCAACCAAUCCUCCUGCCUCGGCCUCUCAAAGUGCUGGGAUUACAGGUGUGAGGCACCACACCUGGCUUCUCCAGCCCUUAUCUUUUUUUAAAAUUUUGUUUUAAUUUCUUAUUUUCCUCUCAUUCUAUUUUCUCUUUUUUUCUUAUGAUGUUUAUUUGUCCUUAAGCUCAUCCUACUUUGGUCUUCAUUUCUGAAAUUAUUUUUUCUUUUACUCCUAGUUCUUUUUAAAAUUCUCUUAGCUCACAUUUCAAACUUUUCUUUUGUCCAAUCAUCUCAUUUUCUUUUUUUUUCCUCUUUUAAAAUAUUUUGAGACAGGGUCUCACUGUGUCACUCAGGCUGGAGUGCAGUGGUGCAAUCAUAGCUCAUUACAGCCUUGACCUCCUGGACUCCAGCGAUCCUCCCACUUCAGCCUCCUAAGUAGCCAGGAUUACGGUAGCACACCAUCAUGCCUGGCUAAUUUUAUUUUUUGUUUUUUGUAGAGACAGGGUCUUGCUAUGUUACCUAGGCUGGUUUUGGACUUUUAGUCUCAAGCAGUCCUGCUGUCUCAGCCUCCCUAAAUGCUAAGAUUACAGGCUCAUUUUCUAAUUCUGAUUUAUGGCAUUCUUCCAUAGCUACAAUCAUU